AACGAACGCUGGCGGCAUGCCUAACACAUGCAAGUCGAACGAGACCUUCGGGUCUAGUGGCGCACGGGUGCGUACCGCGUGGGAACCCGCCCUUAGGUUCGGAAUAACUCCCCGAAAGGGGUGCUAAUACCGGAUAAUUUCUUCGGACCAAAGAUUUAUCGCCUUUGGAUGGGCCCGCGUUGGAUUAGCUAGUUGGUAGGGUAAAGGCCUACCAAGGCGACGAUCCAUAGCUGGUCGGAGAGGAUGAUCAGCCACACUGGGACUGAGACACGGCCCAGACUCCUACGGGAGGCAGCGGUGGGGAAUAUUGGACAAUGGGCGAAAGCCUGAUCCAGCAAGGCCGCGUGAGUGAUGAAGGCCUUAGGGUUGUAAAGCUCUUUUAGCCGGGAUGAUAAUGACAGUACCGGGAGAAUAAGCUCCGGCUAACUCCGUG
rnacentral:rRNA from 1 species